AAACUUUCAACAACGGAUCUCUUGGUUCUGGCAUCGAUGAAGAACGCAGCGAAAUGCGAUAAGUAAUGUGAAUUGCAGAAUUCAGUGAAUCAUCGAAUCUUUGAACGCACAUUGCGCCCGGCAGUAAUCUGCCGGCAUGCCUGUCCGAGCGUCAUUU
rnacentral:rRNA from 1 species